GGGCUGGGCUUCUCCCGGUUUUCCCCCAUCGUGAGAAUAGCCUUACAGUCUUCUUGUUAUUCAGUCAACAAGUAAUACAUGUUACAGUUCUUCUAAGCACCACUGGUUGAGGAGACAAAGUCUCCAAACAAUCUCAAAACUUCCAGUCAUUUCAGUAUCAGGCGCGUAACAACGAUCGGGCAAGGGGAGACAGUUGUCUGGGGGCCCCACUGCCUGGAGGGGCCCCCCAGAGGCACCUCACGUGACUCCCCAUUGCCCCCUGCCCAGCCCCAAGGCCCCUCAGCCACUUGCCCUGUUCGCCGUCUCUCCAGCUUGUUCUCCUGGCCGGCAAUCAAGCAGCAGGCAAGCUGCAAAGAGCUCCUUUUCUCCCGCCUCUCAGCUGAUCGGCGGGUGGGCGGGGCUUCCACGGAGGUCUGGUGUAGGCCUCUGUGAAGCCUGAACUCGAGUAGGGCCCAAGCCAGCCAGGAAGGAGGAGGCAGCCAGAGUGGCCACCACUGUUCUCUGCAGCAGAAGACCCCUUGCUGCCAGCAAUCCAAGUUGUUCUUUGGCCAAGGCUAGGAUGGUGAGUGCCACAUUCAAAGCAAAGGACAGAAUGCAGAAGCAGAGGGUUUCAGGCUGGGAUCUUUCCCAGCCCAGCCUGCAUGAAUGGGAAGGUUGAAGAAGAAUACCAGCGACUUAUUCUGCAUGAAUGAUACCAGCUCCUUGUCUUCCCAGUUUAAACUUGAAGGCCACAACCUGUUAAUUCAUACUGAAAACAAAUUCAACGAAAUGACUCCAGGUGAGAUACUCAGAGAUAUGCUGCUAUAUGUAGAAAGCAAAACCAUUACAAUGUUUCAUUUCUCCACCUUUCAAAUGUAAAAACUAGGCUGAACAACUUUCUAACUCUGCUUCUUAGAAAAUCUAGUGCCUCUUCCAAGCUCACAAUUCUUUUGCUCAAUUAACUGAAGUGAAAUUCAUCUUAUUGCAUCCUCUUUCAUUGAGUUUAUUGUUGUUCUACCAUUAAUACUGUGUUGAACAUUACGUAACACAAGCAGCACAUUUGAUGUACUUGAUGAAGUCUGGACUUUUGCAACAUGAUUUACAGAUAAAAGUCACCAACUGGUCUAACUUGGUUUUACAGCUGAGACAAGUCAGAAGUGUCUUAUUGCUUUGUUUUAUUGCAAUUAAAUAGAUCAGAUUUAGUAGUGGUACUGAAUGAUGCAGAGCUUCUUAAAAGAUAUAUAAAAUAAUUUACCUUAGAACGUCACAAUAACUUUAUACUCCUAGUGAAUUUUCUAGACAUAACAGCAGUGGCUGUAGACAUUAUUGGAUUUUGGAGCAUUUGGACCAGUGUUUUCACUGUUCCAAGACUGUUCUCCUCUUGACAAAGACCAACAUCGAAAUGGCGGUCACUGGGUCACCACUGUAGAUUUGUGGACUUGUUUAUAACAGACUAGUUUACUCUCGACACAAUGGACUUUACAGUUUCUCCAGUGCAAUACAUUUAGUUUCAUCUAUGUGAUUUACAAUUGUUAUCUUUUGUUUUAACUUAUGUUGAUAAUAUCUUUGAUUAUAAAAUUAUAAUGGUC